rnacentral:lncRNA from 1 species
AAGCAAUGUCGUAGAAGCCGAGUUAAAAGCUCUGAAUUUACUGCGCGGUGUGUUAGGUGUGGAUGUCAGCCAGUUAAAAGGAGAGAUAAAGCAUUUAAAAGAAGAUCAAAGCUUCGACAGACAAGUUAUCAAGGAACAGGAAAGAAUGUUAGAAAAUUUGGUAAAUUGCACAAAGGAAUGCUCAACAAGAAUGGAUCGUUUUGAUAAGUUGUUUUGCCGAGAAAUUAGUGAAAUUCGUGCUGACAUCAAGUCAUUACAAGGAACUAAUGAUCGGUUCCAACAAAAAAGCUGUUUACCUGACAAACCGCCAAAAAUUUUUGGACGUGACGCCGAAGUGAAGAAAAUCGUUUGUUCCUUGGUGGAUGAAGGCUGUGGAAUUGUUUCAAUUGUUGGUGGACCAGGGUUUGGCAAAAGC